UUUUUCUACUGUUUUGAGAAAGCUUUUUAUAUAUGUUUCUCUGUUAGAAAACUCCAUUUUCUAAAUCAAUGUUUCUUAAAACUGUCUUUUACAAAAGUAUUAAAUAACCAAACGAAGCCUUAGUUAGUAGCCAACAAAUCAUAUGGAACUCACCCACAAUGGGGUGUUUACAACAGAACUCUCCUAACAAUCCAAGAGGUGCUACUCGUCUGGAAUUUGCAAGAGAACUCACCCACAAUAAUCAACAAAUGCUACUUUCUUGGGACCGCUAAGUAGCUCAACCCUUUUUUGCAUAGGUGGAUGGAGGAUUCCUCAUCUGGCUUGCUUAACACUCAUCACAUAUUUGGACCACCAUAUCAAUUACUUGCUCUCCCCCAAGGCGAUCCUUCUCAUGCAAGUUUGUUGAGCUCAGCUAUAGUUAAGUGCCUAUUCACGGGACCCUAACUCAUUUGCCAUGACCAUUCAAUUCAAUGCCUCUUCCUUUUCGUGACAACAUCGCACUUGCCCCUCUCUCUAUCUUCUUAGGUGAUCUGAGAUCUCUCAUGCAAAUCAUCAGCAAUGUCAACAAGCCUGUUGGUUGCAAGUCCCCCUCAUUUCAGUGCUCACCUAUAGAGUUGCCCCAAUCUACUCGGCACUACUGAGCUCGCCCAGAGAUCACUUACUGUGGCCCUUCUGUCCAUACACUCCUUCAACGAAUCAGAGGACGACAUGUGUUUAGCGUAGCUCAUGUAGCAAUUUAUAGAUGUUUUGUGUAGCGGUAUAUUUUUCUCUUUUUAUGUAGCCUUUCAUGUGGCCCUCAUAAUCUUAUAAAUAAGAGGUGAUGAGGAGCAGUUUAGGACUUUUUGACUGAUUCUAGUGGAUUCUAUGCUGGUUUGAGAUUCAUAAUUUUUUUCAGCUUUUCACAUAUUCUCUCUUGCUCUCUAGUACUCUUCCUACUCUUCAUUCUCACAUAGGUUUCAGCUCACCAAGUAGGCCUGCUAGUAAAGUCAGGUGUCACUCAUGGACACAUUUGAAUCCAACAAGAUUGAUUCUGAUUAGAACAUUAGUUUUCAUCUUUCGUAGAUUUUAGUCAUAGCUAUCCUUGAAAAGGAGAUUUAGUUUCUAACAUUUUUUUUCUUAUUUAGUUGAAUGGAGUAAUAGACAAAAUGAUUUGUAUUUCUCCCUACUUCUGAGAUAUUGAUUGGAUUCCUUGAGCAUCAUCAUAAGAAGAGCCAAUGGUAAUUUUCCAUCUCCAUUAAAGUUAUACUGUGGCUAAUGUUAAAUUUCCUUUUGGCAUCACUCAUUUUCUAGUUGCUUUGCGAAUUUCAGAGAAGCAUUUCAUAAUGAUUCUAUUUAAAGCACCGUGUAAGUGCAAGAAAAUCAAGCUCUGAUUAUUCGUUAAGGUGUAGCUAUCUUAGAAAGGAGAGAAUCCAUGAAGAUUCUUUCCCUUUCAACCAAAAGAGCUGGAAAGAAAGGAGGUAAAUUUAUUAUCAAAUAUGAUGACAUGGUGUAGAAAAAAGAUUUUGCACGCCUUUUUCAUGCAUGUUUCUAUCUUGUAUACAAGAAGAUUAGGAUCCUCAAUGCCUAUUGUAUGAAUGAUGAUGAGUGAUGGGUCUUACUCCUACUUUUUUUGCAUUUCAUUAAACUGGAUUGUACCAAGUAGACGAACAGGGGCUGGAUCUCUCGGCUGAUGAAAGAUUCAUCGAAGCAGUCAACAAGCUUGGAGAUGUUGACAAAGCAAAACCUGAGCCAAUAAUAAGGAUAAUGGGAUUUCCUAGACCGACUCUGUAUCAUCUAAAGAGACACUUGCAGGCAUCUUUCCUCCCUCUCUCACAAUAAAUUUCGCUUCUAACUGAAUUGAAAUUGUACAGCUGAAAGAGCUCUGUCUUCUCAGAAAGAUAAACUUGCAAAGAAUGGGAUUACAAGCUCUGCCAAUGGCAACAAGAAGCAAGUUGAAAGUACGCGUCACUGUUGAAUCAUCCUCCAUCAGUUGAAAUCAAAGCCUGUAAUGUAACAGAAGUCAUGAUAGUUGAAUGAAG